rnacentral:rRNA from 1 species
AUUGAACGCUGGCGGCAUGCCUUACACAUGCAAGUCGAACGGUAACGGGCCUUCGGGUGCCGACGAGUGGCGAACGGGUGAGUAAUGCAUCGGAAUGUACCUUUCAGUGGGGGAUAACGUAGCGAAAGUUACGCUAAUACCGCAUAUUCUGUGAGCAGGAAAGCAGGGGAUCGCAAGACCUUGCGCUGAUUGAGCGGCCGAUGUCAGAUUAGCUAGUUGGUGAGGUAAAGGCUCACCAAGGCGACGAUCUGUAGCGGGUCUGAGAGGAUGAUCCGCCACACUGGAACUGAGACACGGUCCAGACUCCUACGGGAGGCAGCAGUGGGGAAUUUUGGACAAUGGGGGCAACCCUGAUCCAGCCAUGCCGCGUGAGUGAAGAAGGCCUGGUGUAAG